rnacentral:rRNA from 1 species
UGAUACCGUCGGUCUUGAAUUNAGUUGAGGUGGGCGGAAUACGUUAUGUAGCGGUGAAAUGCAUAGAUAUAACGUAGAACACCGAUUGCGAAGGCAGCUCACUAAACUAACAUUGACGCUGAUGGACGAAAGCGUGGGGAGCGAACAGGAUUAGAUACCCUGGUAGUCCACGCCGUAAACGAUGAUUACUCGUUGUGCACAAUACAUCGUGCGUGACUGAGCGAAAGCAUUAAGUAAUCCACCUGGGGAGUACGUUCGCAAGAAUGAAACUCAAAGGAAUUGACGGGGGCCCGCACAAGCGGAGGAACAUGUGGUUUAAUUCGAUGAUACGCGAGGAACCUUACCUGGACUUAAAUGUAGAUUGACCCUCUUAGAAAUAGGAGUUCUCUUCGGAGCAACUUACAAGGUGCUGCAUGGUUGUCGUCAGCUCGUGCCGUGAGGUGUCGGGUUAAGUCCCAUAACGAGCGCAACCCCUAUCGUUAGUUGCUAGCAGGUAAUGCUGAGGACUCUAGCGAGACUGCCACCGUAAGGUGAGAGGAAGGUGGGGAUGACGUCAAAUCAGCACGGCCCUUACGUCCAGGGCUACACACGUGUUACAAUGGCCGAUACAAAGGGCAGCUACCUGGUGACAGGAUGCUAAUCUCCAAAGUCGGUCUCAGUUCGGAUCGGAGUCUGCAACUCGACUCCGUGAAGUUGGAUUCGCUAGUAAUCGCAUAUCAGCAACGAUGCGGUGAAUACGUUCCCGGGCCUUGUACACACCGCCCGUCAAGCCAUGGAAGCCGAGGGGACCUGAAGUUCGUAACCGCAAGGAGCGACCUAGGGUAAAAUUGGUAANCUGGGGCUAAGUCGUAACAAGGUAA